UCAUUGUAUUUUAUGUAUCGAAUCACUUGAGAUCGAGCGUGGUGGUGCGUAUGCGCAAGUUACGCGCAAUGGCAGGGACUAAAUUAUAAAAAUAGGGCUGAGGUGGGUUUUUCUGUAAUUGUACAUAUAUCAUAGAGUUAGGUCACCAUGAAACCCUAACCCUGGGUCCCCUCCUCUUCCUUAACCGCCUCCCUCACGUUCCCCUGCUCUCCCCGCGCGCGCUCCGGCCACCAGAGCACGCCGCCGGCCGCCGGAGCUGGCUGCUCCUCCACCUCUCCAUUGUUCCUU
rnacentral:lncRNA from 1 species